rnacentral:rRNA from 1 species
GCCAGAGGCGUAAGCACGAUGAAAGUACCAGUCCCUAAUGGAUCACUGAAGGUAAGCAACGUCGCGCGUGGUUAGUAUCCGGAUGGGUGACCAUCUGGGCCAUUAUUUGCUACUGCGU